rnacentral:rRNA from 1 species
GGCUCAGGACGAACGCUGGCGGCGCGCCUAAUACAUGCAAGUCGAGCGAGAAGGUGUAGCAAUACACUUGUAAAGCGGCGAACGGGUGAGGAAUACAUGGGUAACCUACCCUCGAGUGGGGAAUAACUAGCCGAAAGGUUAGCUAAUACCGCGUACGCCUCCCGGACUUCGGUUCGGGAGGGAAAGCGAUACCGUGGGUAUCGCGCUCCUGGAUGGGCUCAUGCCCUAUCAGCUUGUUGGUGAGGUAACGGCUCACCAAGGCUUCGACGGGUAGCUGAUCUGAGAGGAUGAUCAGCCACACUGGCACUGCGACACGGGCCAGACUCCUACGGGAGGCAGCAGUAAGGAAUAUUGCGCAAUGGGCGAAAGCCUGACGCAGCGACGCCGCGUGGGGGAUGAAGGUCUUCGGAUUGUAAACCCCUUUCGGGAGGGAAGAUGGGAUGGGUAACCAUUCGGACGGUACCUCCAGAAGCAGCCACGGCUAACUUCGUGCCAGCAGCCGCGGUAAUACGAAGGUGGCAAGCGUUGUUCGGAUUCACUGGGCGUACAGGGAGCGUAGGCGGUUGGGUAAGCCCUCCGUGAAAUCUCCAGGCUUAACCUGGAAAGUGCAGAGGGGACUGCUCAGCUAGAGGAUGGGAGAGGAUCGCUUAAUUCCCGGUGUAGCGGUGAAAUGCGUAUAGA